rnacentral:tRNA from 1 species
GCCGAAAUAGAUCAGUUGGGAGAGCGUUAGACUGAAGAUCUAAAGGUCCCUGGUCGAUCCCGGGUUUCGGCA